AUUGAACGCUGGCGGCAUGCCUUACACAUGCGAGUCGAACGGUAACAGGUUAAGCUGCCGCGUGGCGAACGGGUGAGUAAUGUAUCGGAACGUGCCCAGUCGUGGGGGAUAACUGCUCGAAAGAGCAGCUAAUACCGCAUACGACCUGAGGGUGAAAGCGGGGGAUCGCAAGACCUCGCGCGAUUGGAGCGGCCGAUAUCAGAUUAGGUAGUUGGUGAGGUAAAGGCUCACCAAGCCGACGAUCUGUAGCUGGUCUGAGAGGACGACCAGCCACACUGGGACUGAGACACGGCCCAGACUCCUACGGGAGGCAGCAGUGGGGAAUUUUGGACAAUGGGCGCAAGCCUGAUCCAGCCAUGCCGCGUGCGGGAAGAAGGCCUUCGGGUUGUAAACCGCUUUUGUCAGGGAAGAAAAGGUUCUGGCUAAUACCUGGGACUCAUGACGGUACCUGAAGAAUAAGCACCGGCUAACUACGUG
rnacentral:rRNA from 1 species